rnacentral:rRNA from 1 species
ACUAGCCUACGGGGUGCAGCAGUGAGGAAUAUUGGUCAAUGGGCGGGAGCCUGAACCAGCCACGUCGCGUGAGGGAAGACGGUGCUAUGGAUUGUAAACCUCUUUAGGCGGGGAGCAAUGCCGGGCACGUGUGCCCGGAGGGAGAGUACCCGCAGAAUAAGCAUCGGCUAACUCCGUGCCAGCAGCCGCGGUAAUACGGAGGAUGCGAGCGUUAUCCGGAUUUAUUGGGUUUAAAGGGUGCGUAGGCGGAUUUUUAAGUCAGCGGUAAAAUGUCCGGGCUCAACCCGGGCCGGCCGUUGACACUG